UACGUAGGGUGCAAGCGUUGUCCGGAAUUAUUGGGCGUAAAGAGCGUGUAGGCGGCCCGACCAGUCCGCUGUGAAAGUCCAAGGGCUCAACCCUGGAAUGCCGGUGGAUACUGUCGGGCUAGAGUCCGGAAGGGGCGAGUGGAAUUCCUGGUGUAGCGGUGAAAUGCGUAGAUAUCUGGAGGAAUACCGGUGGCGAAGGCGGCAUCCUGGACCGGCAUUGACGCUGAUGAGCGAAAGCUAGGGGAGCAAACGGG
rnacentral:rRNA from 1 species